rnacentral:sRNA from 1 species
CAGAGUGGCCUACGUCACCUACGCCGUUGGCUUUGACCGGCGUGCGCUGCCGCCCAUCACCGUGGAUGGGGAGACCUGCGAAGUUCCUGCCGGCUAUGAGGGCUACGACGUGGCAGGCAGCGGCCAACUGAAGGUGG